rnacentral:rRNA from 1 species
AUUGAACGCUGGCGGCAUGCCUAACACAUGCAAGUCGAACGGCAGCGCGGAGAGCUUGCUCUCUGGCGGCGAGUGGCGGACGGGUGAGUAAUGCAUAGGAAUCUGCCCAGUAGCGGGGGACAACCUGGGGAAACUCAGGCUAAUACCGCAUACGCCCUACGGGGGAAAGCGGGGGACCUUCGGGCCUCGCACUAUUGGAUGAGCCUAUGUCAGAUUAGCUUGUUGGUGGGGUAACGGCCUACCAAGGCGACGAUCUGUAGCUGGUCUGAGAGGACGAUCAGCCACACUGGGACUGAGACACGGCCCAGACUCCUACGGGAGGCAGCAGUGGGGAAUAUUGCACAAUGGGCGAAAGCCUGAUGCAGCAAUGCCGCGUGUGUGAAGAAGGCCUGCGGGUUGUAAAGCACUUUCAGUAGGGAGGAAACAGU